CAAAAAAACUGGUUUUGAAAAUUUGUAAAACGAUGAUGGUUAUUUUCCUCUUAAUUAACGUUAACGGGUAUCGCUAAUUGAUCGUUGAUUAUGAGAUUCAUGGAGCUGCGGAGAAUUUUUGUUAUUUCCAUAAACAAAUCGUUUCUAUGCAUGCCCGUUUCUAAGGAAAAUUCAUCAUUCUGCAUUCAACAAUCAGCUUGAUUGUACCGAUCUGUCACACGUUUUCGCUGUAUUUCUAAUCAGACGGUGGCUUCCGUCGUCUCAAUCCAGUACUCAAGCGGCUCCAAGUCACGACACGCGCUGAUCCGUAAAAUUUCAGCACUAGGAUAUUGAAACGGGAUCAUUGAGUGGUCAUCAACAAGACCGACAGUGGUAUACCUAUAAACCGAGUUCUCAAUUGGAUAAACGACGACGCCGAUCUCAAGUGUGCCGCUUAAGUCUUCCAGAUGGUUUCUCCUGUUGACGGACAGAAAUUGAUCUGGUAGAAAGUAUCUACGAAUCAGUA